rnacentral:rRNA from 1 species
GACGAACGCUGGCGGCGUGCCUAAUACAUGCAAGUAGAACGCUGAAGAGAGGAGCUUGCUCUUCUUGGAUGAGUUGCGAACGGGUGAGUAACGCGUAGGUAACCUGCCUGGUAGCGGGGGAUAACUAUUGGAAACGAUAGCUAAUACCGCAUAAAAUGGAUUAUCGCAUGAUAAUCCAUUGAAAGGUGCAAAUGCAUCACUACCAGAUGGACCUGCGUUGUAUUAGCUAGUUGGUGGGGUAACGGCUCACCAAGGCGACGAUACAUAGCCGACCUGAGAGGGUGAUCGGCCACACUGGGACUGAGACACGGCCCAGACUCCUACGGGAGGCAGCAGUAGGGAAUCUUCGGCAAUGGACGGAAGUCUGACCGAGCAACGCCGCGUGAGUGAAGAAGGUUUUCGGAUCGUAAAGCUCUGUUGUAAGAGAAGAACGAGU